CCAUCGGGUUGCAUCACGCCCGGCUCCCUCCCCGUGGAAUUUUACAACUGUUAAUGAAUGGGGUUGGAGCACCGCUGUGCCGCCAGGCAGCCGUUGGUGGAUUUAUGGUCGGAGAUUGAGCUCCUGCCUCUGGCACUGCAUCGGUGACAGCAGUGCUGUGUGUGUGCCAGCAAGCCUGCGAGGCCAGAGCCUGCAGCAGCCCUGUGCUCACGUGCUGCGUGUUGUUCUUACGGUGGUGACGUCCCUGCAGCAGGGACACAAGCUAUGCGUGAGAGGAGUGUGACACAAAACUGCUCUGAGGACCAGGAGCUGACAGUGAUUUCUCUGUCAUUCCCCUGUUGUCAUCUUCCCCACUGCACGUACAUUUGUUCAUCGUUAGUAAGGUACUGUUGAUGACUAAAGCCUGGGUCUGUAUCGCAGUCUGCUUGAAGGAGCAAUCGAGGACUGCAGGGCUCAGCUCAUGAGGAGUGGGGCAGUGCGUUUCCUCAUUCUAUGGGAUGUGAAGAGUCCCUCCUGACUGACAGCGAAUUGCAUCACUGCUUGUACAGAUAUUUUUCUCUGCAAUGUGCUUGUAGUGUUGUUUUCCACCAGUGAAAUUUGCCAGCACGUCCCAAAUUGUGUGGUUUUGGAAUGGAGAAGCAACAUACCUGUGCGGGGGAGAGAAUGAGUGCUUUUUGCUUCUUUCAAUCUGGCUCUUCCCUCCCUUCUCCCCACAUCCCCAUGUGUUACAAAGCCAGCUGCUCCCAGAAUAGGUUGGGAAUGAAAUGUCACCGUUUGAAACUGGUGAGUCACACUUUUUGAAGCUUGGGGGGGGAGGGAAUCUGAAAUCCUGCGGUGUGGCAGAGCGUCUCCUGGUGAGCACAGAGGGAUUUUGAAAACCACGGGCUCCCUGAUGGUGGAGUCGAGGGGUUUUGCAUGCAGGCUGCUGGGUGUGUCUGGGCUGCUUUCUGCAGGAGGAUGGCAAAACCUGCUGCAAACUUCAGCUGUCUGCUGGAACGUACCUGCUGCAGCCACAUCCCAGCGCCUUCCCGACAGGACUGGGUCGUAUCUGACAGCGAACCUACAGUGACUCUCUUAAUUAAGUCUCCCUGCACUGCUGUGAGGUAUGUAAUUACAGUGAGACCUGACUUAAGCAACCACACGAGGGACUAACAACAGGAAAAAAAAACCUCUUUACCAGAGCAAGGAGGAGCAGAAUUAUACUGUUGCUUUUUUUAUAAAUAUAUAUAUAUAUUUCAGGGGAAGUUUAUUAAACAAAGUAAGUCAGUUAGUCUGGUUUCUUCUCAGUGUAUCCCAGUAGGGAUGAUACCUAGGAUGAUACCUUUAAUGUACUGUAUGUUAAUAUAAGCAGGCUGUUUCCUUCCAAAAAGAUCCUUGAGAUUGUUAAUUUUUUUUAAUAGAGAUUUCUGUGAAAAGCAUCAAUUAAUACAAAUGGUAACAGUGGUCUUGUGAGAUGAGCUGUUGUUACCAGAAGCUGGGCAGUGGUUCUCACUUCCCAACUCUGUCCAGGGGUAGGAAUGUUUAUUCAAAGGGUGACAUGUGGGAUUCCUGCUGCAGCCCUUGGCAGCCGUGCAUUUCCACACUGUGCAUGGCAGCCCUGCCUUGUAGGUGCUGAGUUGUGCACCUUGAGCUGAGCACCACUGGUCUGUGCCCAGUGCUGGCAGUGGCAGGUUGGGCUUUGUGCUGCCAUUCCCAUCUUGCCCACCAGCUAGCUGGCUGUGUUAAUAUCCUGAGCAGCCGACUGCGGUGGCCACAGAGAAGUCAUGCAACUCAUCUUACAGCCUCUGCUUCGGCCUUACUGACCUCCAGCUGAAGGGCAGGUGGAAGCUGGAGACAGCAAUACCACGAAUGGUCGCGUGGUGAGCCAGCUGCAGUCCUCUUGAGUCCCCAUUCAGUGGGGUGCUGAAUACAUGCAGUGAGUAAAGCUCCCCACUUACAGGCUGAGCGACGCAGGCAGCUUGCUGGGGACUUUGCAGGAGUAAGCCUUAGGGAGUUUGGUGCCAUCUCUGUCUGUUUCACUUUAGAAAACUGAGCUAGUAACAGGAAUUUAUGAAGUGUGCAUUUAAAUCUCAAAUUUUAGGUAGUGUUAACUAGAAGCCCACAUACUGUCGUCACCGGACUUGGCAAAAAACACCCAACAAACCAACACAACGCUGGCUGCAGAAGAUUUGCUGCAGAGCUUAAGAUUUCAUUUAAGACAAAAUAAAGCAAACCCUGUGCAUCAUGGCCUCAGAGACAACCUUGGGAAGUCAGAUCUGGGUGCCGUUCCACAUGCCUAUUUCUCAGCAGCAUAGCCUGCUUAUCUGCCCCACUCUUUAUCUUUGUUGCCCUUUUUUCUCAUCUCGGAGAACUUCAGUGAGUUUCCUUCUGCUGUGGUGGGCGAGUUGAACCAGCAGUGCUGCAGGGUACUUUGCCUCUCCAGAUCCUGAAUGAGGAUUCCUGUUAGCUUACAGGCUCUAGCAGAUAACUAGCCCAAGAUAAUGUUGGGUGCAAUUGGUUCAAGUACGCCCUAUUGAAAAGCAGCUUAUUUCCUAGAAUGAAGUUAGCAUGAUUUCAAACCGAGCAACGAAAGAUGAAUUGAGCACACAGCUCCAAUGCUGAAUCCAAUAAGCAUUUGAAAUUUCAAAGGUACGUGAUUUUUUCCUUUAAAGCUUCAUGGGUUUUUGCCCAAAUCAAAGGAUUUUGGUGGACUGCUUACUGUGGGAUUUUCCAGGCUGCCUGAGGCCACGCAUUCUCAGCUCCUCCGCCUCGGCACAACUCACACCUAAGGAUGGAACUCUCCCUAACAUGAACAAGCAUUUCAGCUCAUUGGGACAAGCCAGUAUUACUACUGAGUUGGUUUGGGCAAAAUAAAUAAAUAAGGAGGGGAGGUGGUGACCAAAAUGACGUGGUUGGACACUCAUUAGCAAAGCAUUGUCAGGGAACAAUAGAAGAACAGACAAAAGUCAGCCCAGAUUCUGUGGUAUUUCCUCAAGGGCUCCCUCUGGCACAUGGCUGCUCCCUGCCAAUCCUUCCGUAUUGUUUUUGAUAAUGAAUAGAAGCUGAACAGAUGAUUGUUGUAUUGUCCACUAAGUGAUUCAUUUACAUUAAAUACUGCUCAAAAGGAGGCUUUGGGUAGACUUUUUUUUAUUCACUCCAGUUAUUUAUUUGUACAAUUUAAUUACCAUCUUUUAAUUCUCCACUGUACAUAAUUAUUUCCUGAUUGCUUUGGCUAAAUUACAGGGGUUGUAACUCCUCAGAAGUCAGUGGUCCAACAAGCCCUGACAUCAGCAGCAGCAUCUCUGCAUUUUCAGAGAUGAUUAAGUUCAAACAAUCACCUUUAGAGAGCCACUCUUUCUUGGGGAAGGUGCUGAGGUUCUGCAGCAUCUGUCUGCAGGUGCCUUAUGCCCCUGCUGCCUGGCUCUGAACAGCAGUUUGGCACAAACUUUGCUGCAUAAACCAUCAUGGCUUCAUUGAUUUCCUCACUAAUCUCCCAUCUGUGUGUCUUCACCAGAUUUUCUUCUUUAACCCAGGCUUUCUAUUGCAAUUUCAGGCUUUUCUUAUGGAUGGUCAAAAGCGUUGAGUAGUUUCAUUUUGGUUGGAAAGAUGUGACAGAUGUGAGAAGUUUAAGGCUUAUUGACGCUACAGUUGGAAGAACUUCGCUGUCAGAAGGUGUUUAGUCCCAAAUCCACAUCCAGAACUACAUGGGAAGAAGAAGAUGGAAGGAAGCUGCUCUCACACAGGGGCACGAAUCCUUGGAAUUCCAUGCACUGCUUUGGAGAGAUCUGCAAAAGAUCACGAAGACAAGCAAGUGUCUAUAGGUUUAAAUUAGAAAUACAGGGGCCUGUGAUUCCAAGGGAAAACUUUCAGGAGUCGAUUAUGAAAUGUUAAGUCAGCUAAGCCCACUGAAAUCCACCUAUCUUUGUGCUCCAUGGACUGACAAGCAUCCUUCUGGCCAGACCUGUGCAGCUGGACUGGCUGCCACUGAAUGUUGUGGAUUGAAGCAGCUGCUCCACCCCCUCUGCUCAGAUGUAGGCAGGGGGAAGCCUCUAAUCUGGCGGAUGCUUUUAGCAAUGGACUGGACCGAAAACAAAAUCUUUGUUUUAGAGAGGGUGGUGGAGCUGGGACCAUAUAAAUCUGUUUUGCUGCGAGGUCAGUGAUUGAUUAAUGCUGGAAGUGCCACCUUGGGAUGACAAGGAUUGAGGAUACAGCCGCUUUUCUUCCCCAUGUGGAGGCACACUGCAUCUUCCCAGCUGAGCUAUCCUGUAACACAGAUGACUCUCUGGAGAAAGACUUAGCUGCACGUUUGCAGUAUGUUUUAGCUACUAUCAACAUUUAUAUUCCAUUGUCAUUUGGGGGUAAGCACUAGUUAGCAUAAUCAUCAGUGCUUUAAAAUUAAAAAUUCCUCCAAGAGAUGCAGGAGGGAUUGAAAUGGUUUUCUGCCCCCAGAGGCAAAUCCUUUCCCAAGCUAUCUGCUGCACCAAAAGGUUUUAUUCUAGAAACAUUCCCAAGCCGUGCCCAAGAGUAAAUUAAACUACAGCAAACUUAUAAACUCUCGUGUGUGUAUGUAGCAAGCAGGCCCUGAUUUAGCAAAUUACUACAUGACUAAAUGUAAGUAUUUUCUGUUCCUAUUUUGGAACUGAUGUUCUUUGCUGCCGUGCCACCUUCACUGUAUGGGCUGCCACAAUCAGGAGGUAUUUGUAGAGUAUGAAAUUUUAAUUCUUCACAGGAAAGAUUCGGGUGUCUUCACCAGAUUGAAAGCAAAGGGCUUGAUGACACUGAUACCUUCUGGAGCUUGGUUCAGGCUCCCCUGGUAAGGAAUUGGCUUCAGAAAAUAUUAAGAGCCAUUCUUUUUCUGUGUAAUUUUAGAAUGGAUUUCUGCUUUGGUACCAAAGCGAUUCGCUGUCAGAGUGAACCUGAAAUCAGAUUUCUGGCUCAAAAAGCUCCCUCUCUUUCUGGAGAACAAGAUGCCAGAAAAACUAUGGGGGGACCUUUAAGUUUGAAAGGCAUCGUCUGUUAUCUGUGGAAAUGUGCCUAGGAGUCCAUCUUAAAAUUUCAACAUUCAUCCUUUGGGAUGUGAUGGAGAACCUCAGGUGACAGUAGUUGUGGUUAAGGAUGGAUUUUGUGCUUGUGGGUUAUCUUUGAGAAUGCUUCACCAAUCCCAGCAGCUCCUUGGGGUGGGCCAUGGAACUUCAGGAAGCAGGAAUGGUUGACUGCUGUAAUUGUUUCUGAUCUGUCCAGAGAGAAAAAAUGGUAUGUUCCAAAGGAAGUAUUUAUUUGUGAGUAGAACAAAUUGCAGGUGUUCUCCUUUCUUAAAAUGAAAGAAUUAUGCUUUAUAAAGACGUGAUUAUUUUUAUUUCUGAAUAACACAAACGCUGCUGCACCUUACAUAGAGUAAACAUGAUGACUUUGCAAGAAAGAGCUGCAAAGAAAUCUCAGCGAAAACUUCGGUAUCUGCAAAGCUUUGAACACAUCCAUUGUCUUUUUGAUAUCCUGUUUCUUUGGAGAGAUGGACUUAAAUUUCACAGACAGAAUUUCUCUCUUUUAUCUUUAUCUCCUGUUUUGAUAUAGCCAUGGAGAAAAGCCCGAGAUCAGUAACAGCAAGUUCUUGCAGAAUAAGAAUAACCCUCUACUUGGGUUUAGACUGUAGUAAUA